CGUCUUCCUCUGCGGCAUGAGGGUUGGGUGGGGGGUGGUUUGCCAUCAGUUCCUUUAUAAGAUUGGAGGUUUCUUAGCUGCGAUAUGGACUCUGUGUGGGUGCUGUUCACCCCAGAAGGCUCCACGUCACCCUCCCGGGGCUUGGGGACAGGUGAUCUGCUGCAAAUUUGGGGCUCAUGCUGCCGGCCGUGCUGGCUGGCUUCCCUCCAUCAAAUCUCAGCUUCAUGUCCUUCAAGGAAAGAGAGGCCUGUCUUGACCAGAUCUACCAUCACUCUGUCACAGCAUCUUCAGUCUUUUUCUUCAUUACACAUCAUCACAAUUGGUAAUGUAUUGAUACAUUUACACAUUUUCUUCCCACCAGAAUGUUUGAUCCACGAGG
rnacentral:lncRNA from 1 species